rnacentral:tRNA from 1 species
CCUCUCCUUUUUUUUGUUAGCGGUUCAAAAUUCGUUAUCUUUCU